GGAGAGGCGGCGGGGGAAGAGGACGAGCAGGAAGAAGCUGCGCGCGGAGCGGCGGUGCCAGCGGCGCCUUCCCGGGGGGCGGCGGGGACGGAGCCCGCGGGUGUCCGGCCGCGGUGUCCCCCGUGUCCCCACGUGCAGAAUUGAUUAGAAAUCGUUUGGAAAAGACCUCUGAGAUCGAGUCCAGCCUGUGACCAAACCCCGCCUUGUCAACCAGCCCGUGGCACUGGGUGCUGCUUCCAGGCUGUCCUUAAACACCUCCAGGAGUGGUGACUCCACCGCCUCCUUGGGAACCUGCCCUCACGGCUAAUCAUCCUUGCUGUGGAGAAAUUCUUCCCCUGAGAAGCAUGAGUCUGCCUGUCAAAUUCCUUGCUCGGACACCUUCUCCUUCAAUAUGAAAACUUUGAGAUCGGGAACAAUUUGGGCUCCUCUGUGUUGCUCUCUGAAAGCAUUUCAAGCUCGACACACAGAAGCUGUUUCUCAGUGAGCAGCUGUGGGGCAUUUGGCUGAUGGUUUUGACAGCAGAGAUGAAUUGAGGACGUGGCAUCUGCAGUCCUGACCUGGAAUUUGAACCCUUCAGUGCCUCUCCCUCCUCCCAGAUGGAGAGGAGGCGGAAGAUCUCGGAAUCUUCUGAUUGCCAUCGAUCUGAUUUUGCUGAGCACUGGCCUCGUAUCACGUCUGUGUGUUCCUUGAGAGAUGAUUUCAAUCUGAAAAAAAAACCCUGUAAGUAUCUUGAGAGCUGGAAAUCAGAUGCUCUGAUCUAACAUUUCUCCAGCAUUUAGCCAUUACCUCUGCCACGAGCACCUCAUUUAAAAAAAAAAAAAAAACCAAACAUGAAGCAUAAGGAAAACUGUGAGAUAACAUUGCUGAUUUUGAGCCCUGACUUACAUGAUUUCCUUUCUGAUAUUUUUGGAGGGAAGAGGGAAUUGGAUCAUAUUUUUGUCUUUUUUCCCCCCCCCCCACAUCUGUAAGGACUAGACAUUUCUUUAACAGAGGGGAAAAUAAAAUAAAUUGAGAUCUCCAGGUGGUAACAUGGCUGAAAGAAAACAUGAAUACUUGGAAAUUCAUGCUCAUUAGUACUGGCACAGAUGUGACUCUGUAGAGCUGAAGCUAACCCGAACCAGGAUAUAGAGAUGAGAACUGCACAUAAUUGAAGCCCUGAUUAAUUAAAAGCAAUUUCUUGGCACAGACAAUGAUGGAGCACCCUUGAGUGGAUCUGCACAUGUCCCUGUGGACGUGUGCCCCAGGCCCUGCUGCCUGUGCUGGGGUGAGGCUUUGUGGGGGUGGGCAAGGGGUAGAAAAGUGGCUUUGCCAAGGAAGCCAAGCCAAGAGGAGCAGUGAGCUCCCUCUCCACUGCAGCCUCAGGUGUGCUGCUGCACCCAGUGCUUCUCCAAGGGCCCCAUGCUUGGAGCAGCUGCUGGAGGAAGUGUGGGAUCAGGAAGGGAAUCCUGUGCACACAGGUGAAUGUCCUUUUCAUGUAGGGUCAUAAACAAACCCCUGAUAGAGUAGGGGAUGGAUCCAGCAGCCCUGGGGAGGCCCCACACUGCUGGAACCAACAGCUUCAUGGAACAUUUUCCUGGAGUCCAAUAGUGGUUUUCUAGACUUAAAAACCGAUCACAUUUCCUUUCCUCCCUCCCUCCCAAAAGCUUUUUUGUCAUCUGUGUCCAAAACCUCCAGCAGAAACUCCGUGAUUGGAGCAAUUUGGUCCAAUGCCAUGAGAAGGGACUGCUCCGCACACUUUAGGAAGAGUAAAAAGGAGAAAGAAAAGAAGGUAGAGCCCUCUGUGCUGUGCCUGAUCACUGAUCAAAGCCAGCUGCCUCCUGUGCUGGCUUGAGGACGUGACAGAUGUCUGUAGCCUUUACAGGUGCAGGGCCUGCAUUUCAUCAGUCUUUUUUCCACGGAUGACCUGGGGUGUGGAUUAUUAGCAGCUCAGAUUUCUUUGGCCAAGGUGCUUUGUUGUGUACACAUCCGGGUUAAAUCUAAGCAAUAUUUCUGAUCCAUGUAGGCUUCUGACUCAGUCCUGCAUCUUUGGUGUUUACAAAAUGAUCAGAGUUUGAACUCUCCCUGUUGUUUCUUAAAUGUCAGCAGAAUUUUUUUUUAUUAAUAAAACAAUGCAGCCUUCCCCUGCAGUGUUUGUGACCAAGAAACUGUGGCAUCACAAGAGCAUGAGGAAAUACUGGCUGAUUAAAACCAGGGUAAGAAAUGACAGCGACAGUGUUUGUCUUCUUUUUUUUUUUCCCC